rnacentral:tRNA from 1 species
GCUUAUAUAGUUUAAGAAGAAAAAUUUAAGAAUGUGGAGCUUUAGAUAAAAAAUUUUUGUAAGCA